AACAUCGCGCACCUGCGGGAACCUGCGGAGGGAUCAUUUUCGGGGAGAUCAACAGACUUGUGGGGGGGAACCCCACGAGUUGGUAACACGGACACAAACACAUUUCGAUGGAACACGGCAUUUGUCUGAAUGGAAAUUGAUUUGAUAAAACUUUUAACAACGGAUCU
rnacentral:misc_RNA from 1 species